rfam:Clostridium tetani E88, complete genome.
AAAGCCUUUAAAAAAGUCCAGAGAGACUUUAAAGGAAGUGUUAUAGGAAUACUGUACAUUAGGACUUCUAUGCCUUCCUUUAGGGAAGGCAUUUUUUAAU